CUCCGGUUUGUAAGGUCCGGGAAACUCCCCACCCAGCGCUCCUGCCUCCCGGUCUUCAAGUUUCUGUGCCUUUUUAUAUAUUUUAUUUGUGUGUGUGUGUGGUACUGGGGAUCAAACCCAGAGGCACUGUACUACUGAGCUGCAUCUCCAGUCCUUUUUAUUUUUUGAGACAAGGUCUUGCUAGAUUGCCCAGGCUGGGCUGCACUCCGAGCCUCCCGCCUCAGCCGCCCGGGGUGUGUUUGUGUGUCCGGUCCGUCCUCUCCCGACUCCGGCCUGCCUGUCACCAUGCUGGGAGCACAGCAGCAAGGCCUGAACGCGGCCUGCAGGAGCAGAGCGGAAGCGGCCCGCUCCUGGCGGACAAAGCCUCCCCUCCCCGCCUUACCCGGGGCUGGCGCCCUGCCGGAACGAGUUGGGACAGGGCGUGUCCACACACUGGAAGCUGCCUCGGGUGUUGAAGCACAUCUGCCCGGGCUCACACUCGAUGCCAUCCUCCUCACACUCGUUGAUGUCUGGGUGGCAGAGCCCCACCCGGCUCUGGCUGCAGGAACUGGAGCGGUCCCUGGACUUGGCAACAGUGGAGACAUCGCCCUGCGUCAGCCUCUGUCACCAAGGACCAGGGAAAGGACCACCAGGAGCCAGGCAGAGCCACCUCUGCUUCACCCCCCUCUGCCACCCUUAGCCCCGGAACAUCCCCCUUCCUUCCAGAGCAUGCUCCUCCCUGACUGCUUUAUUCAAGUACCAAAUGGAGUAUUUCUCAAGAGCUGGCUGUAGUGACACUCAUCCAGCUGCUCCUGACACUCAUCUACAUCUGGGGAGUCGGGGCGGGGCUUAGCCGGAGCCUCCCCGGGGGUGACCUCCACUUUGGGCCUCGCCCGCCCCUCCUCCACAC
ensembl:lncRNA